AUUGCUUCUCAGCCUUUUGGCUAAAAUCAGGUGUACUAUCUGUUCCUAUCAGCUCAAUUUCUGUUACACCCCCUAUCCAUGGACAAUAUGUUAAAAGGGCUAGAAAAUGGAAUGAAAAUUUGCUCUAUCCAUUCCACACAUCAACCUGGGUUUACAGCACUUCCAGGAACGUUGCAUCCCCU